GGGCUGCUUCCUCGUGGCCCAGCCGGGUUCUUAGAACCAGGAAAGCCUGGCCCCCUCUACACACCUGUAGUGACCCCUCCCCCCGGCUCACUGGGGUCUGGGCAGCUGGCCCAGGGCAGGUGAUGGUUAGAGCUCAGAAGCUGGAUCGCAAAUAGAAAGGACUGUACGGCUGCGGGACUUCUCAUUCUCACAAAACCGUCCCGCAGGAAAACGGAGAAGACAGAAACCCCCCUGAGGUGGAUUCAUGUGCCCCGCUGCUGAUUCCUGAACUCCUGUCUCCUCCCGCCCUGUUUGUUUUAGUUACGAAAUGCUGUGGGCACCUCGGUUGUGACUGAAAAGUAACCUUGAAACACGCCGUCCUGACUGUCAGAGACAAAUAGUCUCCCAACCGUCGCUGCCACUGGCGGGGCCGCGUGCUCCCGGCCCCCGGACGGUGGGGACGGGGCUCCUCCCCGCCAGCCUCGCCGUCGGGCCCCGGAGGCCGGGCUCCGAGGCGGCAAAGAGCCGAGGCAGCGGGACCUGGCGCCCCGCGCGCCUCCCGGAGCCGCUCUGGGUCUUAACUGUAACGGGCGGGGCCACCCAGAAGCAGCGGCGGGCGAGUUAAAGUAUGCUGGGAGCGGUGAAGAUGGAAGGGCACGAGCCGUCCGACUGGAGCAGCUACUAUGCCGAGCCCGAGGGCUACUCCUCGGUGAGCAACAUGAACGCCGGCCUGGGGAUGAACGGCAUGAACACGUACAUGAGCAUGUCGGCGGCCGCCAUGGGCAGCGGCUCGGGCAGCAUGAGCGCCGGCUCCGUG